rnacentral:rRNA from 1 species
GACUCGGCUAGAGAUAGUCGUUCCCUUGUGGUUGGCCACAGAUGGUGCAUGGCUGUCGUCAGCUAGUAACGUGAGAUGUUGGGUUAAGUCCCGCAACGAGCGCAACCCUUGUCCUGUAUUUCCAGCGGGUUAUUCCGGGGACUUGCAGGAGACUGCCGGGGUCAACUCGGAGGAAGGUGGGGAGGACGUCAAGUCAUCAUGCCCCUUAUGUCCAGGGCUUCACACAUGCUACAAUGGCUGGUACAGAGGGGUGCGAUGCCGUGAGGUGGAGAGAAUCCUUUAAAGCCAGUCUCAGUUCGGAUUGGGGUCUGCAACUCGACCCCAUGAAGUCGGAGUCGUUAGUAAUCGCAGAUCAGCAACGCUGCGGUGAAUACGUUCCCGGGCCUUGUACACACCGCCCGUCACGUCAUGAAAGUCGGUAACACCCGAAGCCGGUGGCAUAACCCCUUUAGAGGGAGCUGUCCGAAUG